rnacentral:lncRNA from 1 species
UCGACCGAAGGUUGCCCCCGGGUCCAAUUUCCAGCAACAGUUGACGCUAGAGGAAGGGACCGAGUAGCAGUCAUGAAGUUGAGAAGUAAGGGAACCUCUAACGUCUCCCGGCGUCCCCCGCAAAGUCCUGGACACUCCGUCUAGAAUUCUCCAACUCCGGCUGACCCAGCUCCUCAGGUCCAGCCGGAACAGUUCAACGCCCUGGCACAGCAAGUCCAGGCCCUGGCCGCCGCCGUUCAGGGCCUGCGGCGCGUGGAGGCUUUACCGGCACUUCCCCCGCAGGCCCAGGCCCCGCCGGAGUGUCUCCCCAACGGCCCGGUUCUCUCCAGCCAAAAUUUGCAUGGCUCCUCCAGAGCCAACAAUGGAGAACGAGCCUCUCCCCGGAGAGAGUUACCGGGAGAAGGUUUCGACCGGAGACCCCAACUUUCUGAGGCGGAGUCAGCCCCGG